ACCACUUCGGUGGGGAUUAGUGGCGAACGGGUGAGUAACACGUGGGCAAUCUGCCCUGCACUCUGGGACAAGCCCUGGAAACGGGGUCUAAUACCGGAUACUGAUCCUCGCAGGCAUCUGUGAGGUUCGAAAGCUCCGGCGGUGCAGGAUGAGCCCGCGGCCUAUCAGCUUGUUGGUGAGGUAAUGGCUCACCAAGGCGACGACGGGUAGCCGGCCUGAGAGGGCGACCGGCCACACUGGGACUGAGACACGGCCCAGACUCCUACGGGAGGCAGCAGUGGGGAAUAUUGCACAAUGGGCGAAAGCCUGAUGCAGCGACGCCGCGUGAGGGAUGACGGCCUUCGGGUUGUAAACCUCUUUCAGCAGGGAAGAAGCGAAAGUGACGGUACCUGCAGAAGAAGCGCCGGCUAACUACGUGCCAGCAGCCGCGGUAAUACGUAGGGCGCAAGCGUUGUCCGGAAUUAUUGGGCGUAAAGAGCUCGUAGGCGGCUUGUCACGUCGGUUGUGAAAGCCCGGGGCUUAACCCCGGGUCUGCAGUCGAUACGGGCAGGCUAGAGUUCGGUAGGGGAGAUCGGAAUUCCUGGUGUAGCGGUGAAAUGCGCAGAUAUCAGGAGGAACACCGGUGGCGAAGGCGGAUCUCUGGGCCGAUACUGACGCUGAAGAGCGAAAGCGUGGGGAGCGAACAGGAUUAGAUACCCUGGUAGUCCACGCCGU
rnacentral:rRNA from 1 species